AGAACGAACGCUGGCGGCAGGCUUAACACAUGCAAGUCGAGCGCCUCGCAAGAGGAGCGGCAGACGGGUGAGUAACGCGUGGGAACCUACCUUUCGGAUCGGAAUAACUCGGGGAAACUCGAGCUAACACCGGAUACGCCCCUCGGGGGAAUGAUUUAUCGCCGAAAGAUGGGCCCGCGUUGGAUUAGCUAGUUGGUGAGGUAAAGGCUCACCAAGGCAACGAUCCAUAGCUGGUCUGAGAGGAUGAUCAGCCACACUGGGACUGAGACACGGCCCAGACUCCUACGGGAGGCAGCAGUGGGGAAUAUUGGACAAUGGGCGCAAGCCUGAUCCAGCCAUGCCGCGUGAGUGAUGAAGGCCCUAGGGUUGUAAAGCUCUUUCGCCUGGGAAGAUAAUGACUGUACCAGGUAAAGAAGCCCGGCUAACUUCGUGCCAGCAGCCGC
rnacentral:rRNA from 1 species